GACGAACGCUGGCGGCGUGCCUAAUACAUGCAAGUAGAACGCUGAAGAGAGGAGCUUGCUCUUCUUGGAUGAGUUGCGAACGGGUGAGUAACGCGUAGGUAACCUGCCUUGUAGCGGGGGAUAACUAUUGGAAACGAUAGCUAAUACCGCAUAACAAUGGAUGACACAUGUCAUUUAUUUGAAAGGGGCAAUUGCUCCACUACAAGAUGGACCUGCGUUGUAUUAGCUAGUAGGUGAGGUAAUGGCUCACCUAGGCGACGAUACAUAGCCGACCUGAGAGGGUGAUCGGCCACACUGGGACUGAGACACGGCCCAGACUCCUACGGGAGGCAGCAGUAGGGAAUCUUCGGCAAUGGGGGCAACCCUGACCGAGCAACGCCGCGUGAGUGAAGAAGGUUUUCGGAUCGUAAAGCUCUGUUGUAAGUCAAGAACGGGUGUGAGAGUGAAAGUUCACACUGUGACGGUAGCUUACCAGAAAGGGACGGCUAACUACGUG
rnacentral:rRNA from 1 species